rnacentral:rRNA from 1 species
CAGUCGCCGCGGGAAUACGAAGGGUGCAAGCGUUAAUCGGAAUUACUGGGCGUAAAGCGUGCGUAGGCAGUUUGUUAAGUCUGCUGUGAAAUCCCCGGGCUCAACCUGGGAAUGGCAGUGGAUACUGGCAAGCUAGAGUGUGUCAGAGGAUGGUAGAAUUCCCGGUGUAGCGGUGAAAUGCGUAGAGAUCGGGAGGAACAUCAGUGGCGAAGGCGGCCAUCUGGGACAACACUGACGCUGAGGCACGAAAGCGUGGGGAGCAAACAGGAUUAGAUACCCGAGUAGUCCCUGUCUCUUAUAC